UACGGGGGGGGCAAGCGUUGUUCGGAAUUACUGGGCGUAAAGGGCCCGUAGGCGGCCAACUAAGUCCGACGUGAAAUCCCUCGGCUUAACCGGGGAACUGCGUCUGAUACUGGAUGGCUUGAGUUUGGGAGAGGGAUGCGGAAUUCCAGGUGUAGCGGUGAAAUGCGUAGAUAUCUGGAGGAACACCGGUGGCGAAGGCGGCAUCCUGGACCAACACUGACGCUGAGGCACGAAAGCUAGGGGAGCAAACAGG
rnacentral:rRNA from 1 species